GCCAGGCAUUUGGUUGACCAUGAGGAAUGAAAUGCCCCUGGAGACUCCCUCUCUGCUAGUAAAAUCUGUAUGAUGAACCAAAUGUUUGUCAGAGGAUUUCCUAACGACUCUUCUAUCAUCUUGUUGACAUUUGUUGACAUUUACUGAAUAAUAAGAAAGUGCUCUGGCUUGGAAGAGAGAGGACCAAGAGGACCUGUGUUGAGACUGAGAUAUCACAGGAUGCCCAGAAUACAGAAAAGUGUUCGCUGAUGGAAUCUGUGAGAAGGUAAAUGACUGAGAAAUGAUGGCAAGUGGAAUAAUAUGCAACAACGACAAUAAAUUGACCACAUUUAGUUGACUGAGGGAAAAGCUGAA